UUGAGCGGAGAUUAUGGAGCUUGCUUUAUAUAACUUAGCAGCGAACGGGUGAGUAACACGUAGAUAAUCUAUCCUAUACUGGGGGAUAGCCCGAUGAAAGUUGGAUUAAUACCGCAUAUAGCUAUAUAGUUGCAUGAUUAUGUAGUGAAAGAUUUAUUGGUAUAGGAGGAGUCUGCGGCACAUUAGCUAGUAGGUGAGGUAAAGGCUUACCUAGGCGACGAUGUGUAGCCGGUCUGAGAGGACGAACGGCCACAAUGGAACUGAGACACGGUCCAUACUCCUACGGGAGGCAGCAGUGGGGAAUAUUGCACAAUGGGGGAAACCCUGAUGCAGCAACGCCGCGUGAGUGAAGAAGGUUUUCGGAUUGUAAAGCUCUGUUAGCAGGGAAGAGGAAGGACGGUACCUGCAGAGGAAGCCACGGCUAACUACGUGCCAGCAGCCGCGGUAAUACGUAGGUGGCAAGCGUUGUUCGGAAUAACUGGGCGUAAAGGAUGCGUAGGCGGUUAAACAAGUUAUAUGUUAAAUAUAUAGGCUUAACCUGUAGAAAGCAUAUAAAACUGUUUAACUAGAGUGCAGGAGAGGUAAGUGGAAUUCCUAGUGUAGCGGUGAAAUGCGUAGAGAUUAGGAAGAACACCAGUGGCGAAGGCGACUUACUGGACUGUAACUGACGCUGAGGCAUGAGAGCAUGGGGAGCAAACAGGAUUAGAUACCCUGGUAGUCCAUGCUGUAAACGAUGGGUACUAGGUGUG
rnacentral:rRNA from 1 species